UGAAAGUGAAGGCCGCCCCUUCGGUGGGGAUGCAGAACGGCCGAGGCGAGAUCCUAAAAAAGUCGGCCUCCCUUUUCCCUCUCUCACGGGGGGAUUUGCGGAGCCACCGGCGAAAUUUUUAAAAGAAACCGGACAUGGUAGGCACGCCGUCGGUCGUCAAAAAACCGUCGGCGGUCCGGAGGCGCAUCGCCGGCCCGUCUCGAUCGCUCCGAUCUUCCUUCCCGUUCUCCGCUCGCCGUUUCGGCUUUCCCGUCUCGUCACCUCUUUCGCGAGAGGCCGGGGCCGGGGUCGUCGCAUUCGGUUGGGGGUUCGGGGGGGUCGAAAGGAAUCUCGGUCGAUGAGGCGGAGCAAGAGCACACACGUUGGGACCCGAAAGAUGGUGAACUAUGCCCGGGCAGGACGAAGCCAGAGGAAACUCUGGUGGAGGUCCGCAGCGAUUCUGACGUGCAAAUCGAUCGUCGGACCUGGGUAUAGGGGCGAAAGACUAAUCGAACCGUCUAGUAGCUGGUUCCCUCCGAAGUUUCCCUCAGGAUAGCUGGCGCUCGGAAACGAAAACGAAAGAAAUGAAACAGUCUCAUCCGGUAAAGCGAAUGAUUAGAGGCAUUGGGGCCGAAACGGCCUCAACCUAUUCUCAAACUUUCAAUGGGUGAGAUGUCCGGCUUGCUUAACGAAUAGAAACAGGGGGGUCGCUCGCGGCUUGUGCGUCUCUUUUCUCGCCUCUUUUUCGAAGUGUUCGCGACACGGAUGACUGGGAGUGCCGGGAGAUCUGCGCGCGCUCGUCGCGUCGGCCACAAACCCUUGAAGCACGGACGUAGGAUGCGAGUGCCCAGUGGGCCACUUUUGGUAAGCAGAACUGGCGCUGUGGGAUGAACCAAAAGCCGGGUUACGGCGCCCGAUGCGGACGCUUAUCAGACCCCAUGAAAGGUGUUGGUUGCUAUUGACAGCAGGACGGUGGCCAUGGAAGUCGGAAUCCGCUAAGGAGUGUGUAACAACUCACCUGCCGAAGCAACUAGCCCUGAAAAUGGAUGGCGCUCCAGCGUCGAGCCUAACCCCGGCCGUCGGAAGGCAUUGAAAAAACGCAAAACGAAAGAACAAAAAACGAUGCCCCGACGAGUAGGAGGGUCGCGGUGGUGGGCGUUGAAGGGAUCGGGCGC
rnacentral:ncRNA from 1 species